rnacentral:sRNA from 1 species
CCCUUGUCCCAAGGAAAGCAGAAGACCCUCGUUAUCUACUUAACAGUUACAGAUUCCUUUGUUCCUUCUCCCAUCCCACUGCUUUGUUUGACUAGCUUUAA